rnacentral:rRNA from 1 species
CCUACGGGGGGCUGCAGUGGGGAAUAUUGGACAAUGGGGGGAACCCUGAUCCAGCCAUGCCGCGUGUGUGAAGAAGGCCCUCGGGUUGUAAAGCACUUUCAGUGAGGAAGAACGCCUGGUGGUUAAUACCCAUCAGGAAAGACAUCACUCACAGAAGAAGCACCGGCUAACUCCGUGCCAGCAGCCGCGGUAAUACGGAGGGUGCGAGCGUUAAUCGGAAUUACUGGGCGUAAAGCGCGCGUAGGUGGCUUGAUAAGCCGGUUGUGAAAGCCCCGGGCUCAACCUGGGAACGGCAUCCGGGGGGAGGAGCUAGCGGGGGAGAGAGCGUGGUGACAUGCAGGGUGGGUGGGUGAGAAGCGGAGAUCGCAGGAACGGUCCCAGUCGCGCAGCGGGCCGAGCUGAGCGCAACUGCAACUGAGGGGCGGAAGCGCGGGUAUCAAACAGGAUGGGAUACAAGAGGGGUC